rnacentral:rRNA from 1 species
UAGGGAAUCUUCCGCAAUGGACGCAAGUCUGACGGAGCAACGCCGCGUGAGUGAAGAAGGAUUUCGGUUCGUAAAACUCUGUUGUUAGAGAAGAACAGCGCAUAGAGUAACUGUUAUGCGUGUGACGGUAUCUAACCAGAAAGCCACGGCUAACUACGUGCCAGCAGCCGCGGUAAUACGUAGGUGGCAAGCGUUGUCCGGAUUUAUUGGGCGUAAAGCGAGCGCAGGCGGUCAAUUAAGUCUGAUGUGAAAGCCCCCGGCUCAACCGGGGAGGGUCAUUGGAAACUGGUUGACUUGAGUGCAGAAGAGGAGGGUGGAAUUCCAUGUGUAGCGGUGAAAUGCGUAGAUAUAUGGAGGAACACCAGUGGGGAAGGCGACUCUCUGGUCUGUAACUGACGCUGAGGUUCGAAAGCGUGGGUAGCAAACAGG